rnacentral:rRNA from 1 species
CGCGUAGGUGGUAGUGCAAGUCUGAGGUGGAAUCCCAGGGCUUAACCCUGGAACUGCCUUGGAAACUGCAUUACUUGAGUCAGUGAGGGGAGGGUAGAAUUCCUGGUGUAGCGGUGAAAUGCGUAGAUAUCAGGAGGAAGGCCGGUGGCGAAGGCGGCCCUCUGGCGCUGAACUGACACUGAGACGCGAAAGCGUGGGGAGCAAACAGGAUUAGAUACCCUGGUAGUCCACGCCCUAAACGGUGGGUACUAGGUGUAGGGCUCGUAAGGGUUCUGUGCCGAAGCGAAAGCAUUAAGUACCCCGCCUGGGGAGUACGGCCGCAAGGUUGAA